GUGAACGCUGGCGGUAGGCCUCACACCUGCCAGUCGCACGGCAGCACAGUAAGAGCUUGCUCUUACGGGUGGCGAGUGGCGGACGGGUGAGGAAUACAUCUGAAUCUACUUUUUCGUGGGGGAUAACGUAGGGAAACUUACGCUAAUACCGCAUACGACCUACGGGUGAAAGCAGGGGAUCUUCGGACCUUGCGCGAUUGAAUGAGCCGAUGUCGGAUUAGCUAGUUGGCGGGGUAAAGGCCCACCAAGGCGACGAUCCGUAGCUGGUCUGAGAGGAUGAUCAGCCACACUGGAACUGAGACACGGUCCAGACUCCUACGGGAGGCAGCAGUGGGGAAUAUUGGACAAUGGGCGCAAGCCUGAUCCAGCCAUACCGCGUGGGUGAAGAAGGCCUUCGGGUUGUAAAGCCCUUUUGUUGGGAAAGAAAAGCAGCAGGUUAAUACCCCGCUGUUCUGACGGUACCCAAAGAAUAAGCACCGGCUAACUUCGUG
rnacentral:rRNA from 1 species